GUCUUACUGAUAAUAAUUUUAAGUCUAAUCUGCCCAAUGAAAAUUAAAUGGCUGCAGUAUCAAUAACUGUACAAAGGUAGCAUAAUAAUUAGUUUUUUAAUUGAAAACUAGAAUGAAAGAUUAAAUGAAAUAUAAACUUUAUAAAUAAAAUAAAAAUUUAAAUUAAAUUUUAAGUUAAAAUUCUUAAAUAUAAUUAAAAGACGAGAAGACCCUUUAGAAUUUUAUAUUAAAUAUAAUUAAAUUUAUAAUAAUUUAAAUAUAAAUUAUAUUUAAUAUUUAAUUGGGGUAAUUUUAUAAUUUAAUAAACUUUUAAAUAAUUAUGACAUUAAUUAAUGAUUAUAUAAUCCUAAUUUUUAGUAUUUUAAAAUAAAUUACCUUAGGGAUAACAGCGUAAUUUUUUUUGAAAGUUCACAUUUAUAAAAAAGAUUGCGACCUCGAUGUUGAAUUAAGAUUAAAUUAAAAGCAAAAAUUUAAUACUUUAAGUCU
rnacentral:rRNA from 1 species